rnacentral:rRNA from 1 species
UGGGGAAUAUUGCACAAUGGGCGCAAGCCUGAUGCAGCCAUGCCGCGUGUGUGAAGAAGGCCUUCGGGUUGUAAAGCACUUUCAGCGGGGAGGAAGGCGAUAAGGUUAAUAACCUUGUCGAUUGACGUUACCCGCAGAAGAAGCACCGGCUAACUCCGUGCCAGCAGCCGCGGUAAUACGGAGGGUGCAAGCGUUAAUCGGAAUUACUGGGCGUAAAGCGCACGCAGGCGGUCUGUCAAGUCGGAUGUGAAAUCCCCGGGCUCAACCUGGGAACUGCAUUUGAAACUGGCAGGCUAGAGUCUUGUAGAGGGGGGUAGAAUUCCAGGGGUAGCGGUGAAAUGCGUAGAGAUCUGGAGGAAUACCGGUGGCGAAGGCGGCCCCCUGGGCAAAGACUGACGCUCAGGUGCGAAAGCGUGGGGAGCAAACAGG